GACUGUGGUUUAGUGGUUUGUAUGUUGCACUAGGACUCUGGAGACCAGGGUUCGAUUCCCUGCCAGGACA